AGAGGGAGAUUUUUUAGGUUAAAAAAGGGGGUUUUUGGAACCCCUAGAUAAUAAGUCAAAAUUCUUUCCCUCUU
rnacentral:tRNA from 1 species